rnacentral:rRNA from 1 species
GUGGGCUUACCUGAUGACCUAAAUAUCUGAUGAGGAAAUUCAGCAUUAUUGUGUCAGAUGAUGGCAUAAUGGUGUGCACUUUUCUUCUAGUAAGACGUUGCGAUCCAUUAGAAAAGUUAUUAAUCUGUAUAUAGGCCCGGAUAGGAGUUUAUACAUUAAGCGAGUAACAUGACUUUGUUGUUAUGUGAAUGCGUGUAAACUAUUUGGUGUUCUUACAGAUGUCUGAUGGUAUUUUGAUUGAAUGUCGCAUACAAUUUUUUCUAAAUUGGAUUCCUUCCGGGAAUUUAAGGCUAACUUUACCACCACCUUUUAAAAUUUAGAAACCCUCCAGAACCCGCCUGGAACCCCGAACCAAAAAUCCAAACUGGAUGGCAAUCCAUGGGAAUUUUAAAAACCAAUAGGCAAAUGGAAAUAACUUGGUUAUGGGAAUACCAAUGGGGGAAUAAUUAAUCCAAUUUUCCCUCCCCCGGUAACCUAAUGGAAAUACCGGAAUUUCCGGUGGCUGGAACUACAAAAAUACCCGGGACCUUACAACUGGUAACCCAAAAAGGUUGACUAAUGCUGAAUCAGGUGAAUUCAGGGAACCCUGGAUGAAAACCGUACAAUCUGACUUGCAAAUCAUUGUCAAAUUGGUAAAGGGCAAAGACAAUCAACAUCUAUACUGUCCCCCUUCCCAAA